GGUUUAAAACAGUUACAUAACUUUUAACAACCCCAGUGAGUGGCAGAACACAUUCCCAAGUUUCUUUUCAAACUCUGGGCUCAAAUGAAGCCCAUAGUCGGUGGUGUCCAGGAUACACUUGAGAAGGUGUCCUCAGAAAAGUGCACAGUGUCCAGACACCCAGAGGCACCACCGUCUCUCUCCUAAGAGCCCGGCAUUUCCAAUUUGGAGGCACAAGGACUUGAGCACUUGGGGAUCCACAGAGGUCUGAGGCAUGGUGGUACCAGAGGAGAUCAAGGGGCCGUCCGCAUGAAACUGGUCUCCGGUUGACAGCACCCUGAUUUCUCCGUUGGGCUCUAUGAGCAUGUCCACCGUCAGCAUUUCCAUGUGGCUUGGAUCUUGAUGACGGCCCCUAAUCUUCCAUCUUGGCCCUUGUACCUCUGACCUGGAAGAUUUAACAUCAUUUGGAUGGGAACUGGGUUCUCUAACACUGAGAGAAAGUCAUAUCUGAUUCUGAACAGUGAAAUUAAUGAAUUAGACUAUCAUCUCAAGUAAAAAUGCUGAAAAGCAAGUUUUAACUCCAAAGUGGGGAUUUCCUUCAACUUUAGAGGAAGACUUUAAACAGCGGGCAAGACAAGAAAGGAGCCUGGAUUGUGCCAGAAGCACAAAGCUGACCAGGGAGGCAUCUUGCACUCUUCAAGAAGUAGGCUCAUUCCCCCGUAAGAUGUGACAAGUUAAAACCAAAACUGCUGCUGGAUAUCACCUAAUGCUUUUCAAAGUUUGUAUUUUUAAGGCUGGAACACUUUAUUUAAACACAAUGUAACUUGAUGGUAAAAAGGUAAAAUUGACAACAGAGCUUCUCUGCAUGUGAAGGGCCUAGAGCCCCACCUGCUGGGAACUCCCACUUCUCUCCUUUCCCUGGGUGGGUUCAGGGGGCUGGGAUGAGCGUUGUGGGGGAUAUGGAAGCUCCUUACAAACACUCAUCUGGUUCAAUCUCCUCCUUAUACAGAUGGGGGGAAAUGAGACAGCAGCAGUGAUAUGCUCAAUGCCGUAUAUGGUACUUGAUUCAAAUAUUUCAGCUGACUCACCUGUAAAAUAAUCACAGUUUUCUAAGAAGAGAAUCAAGAGUUUAUGGUGGGAAAAUUUUAAAGAAAGUAACAUUACAAAAUUACUAAGAGAAAUGAGACCCCAAAUUUGAGAUUAAAAUGUUAUCACCCAAACCUAUUCUUUCUAUACCAAAGAAAAAUUUAUAAUAGAGGUAUAGUCUAUAAUAGAGGUAUGGUUUAGGAAAUAGGAUUUUUUUUUCUUUAAUAUGGAAAGUUUUUUUUUUUCUUUUUUUAAUUUGGAAAAAAUGUGAAAAUACAAAAAGCAUAGAAAAUAAUAUAAAAAACUACCAUGGACAUAAUG